rnacentral:tRNA from 1 species
GGGUCGCUAGCUCAGUUGGUAGAGCACCGCCCUUUUAAGGCGGGCGUCCCGGGUUCGAGCCCCGGGCGACUCACAA